UGAUCCGGGUUGCGGACAGUGUCUGGUGGGUAGUUUGACUGGGGCGGUCUCCUCCUAAAGAGUAACGGAGGAGCACGAAGGUUGGCUAAUCCUGGUCGGACAUCAGGAGGUUAGUGCAAUGGCAUAAGCCAGCUUGACUGCGAGCGUGACGGCGCGAGCAGGUGCGAAAGCAGGUCAUAGUGAUCCGGUGGUUCUGAAUGGAAGGGCCAUCGCUCAACGGAUAAAAGGUACUCCGGGGAUAACAGGCUGAUACCGCCCAAGAGUUCAUAUCGACGGCGGUGUUUGGCACCUCGAUGUCGGCUCAUCACAUCCUGGGGCUGAAGUAGGUCCCAAGGGUAUGGCUGUUCGCCAUUUAAAGUGGUACGCGAGCUGGGUUUAGAACGUCGUGAGACAGUUCGGUCCCUAUCUGCCGUGGGCGCUGGAGAACUGAGGGGGGCUGCUCCUAGUACGAGAGGACCGGAGUGGACGCAUCACUGGUGUUCGGGUUGUCAUGCCAAUGGCACUGCCCGGUAGCUAAAUGCGGAAGAGAUAAGUGCUGAAAGCAUCUAAGCACGAAACUUGCCCCGAGAUGAGUUCUCCCUGAGACUUAGAGUCUCCUGAAGGAACGUUGAAGACGACGACGUUGAUAGGCCGGGUGUGUAAGCGCAGCGAUGCGUUGAGCUAACCGGUACUAAUGAACCGUGAGGCUUAACCUUACAACGCCGAAG
rnacentral:rRNA from 1 species